AUGUAUGCCGGUUCCAACCCCACCUCGAAGAUGAGGAACUCGGACCUGCGGUGCAGCUGACCACCUGAACGUUUUCUUCAAGUGCUCCACUUCGGCGGUGAUUUUCUCCUCGCUGAAGUUUGCAACAACUUGUAGCGCUUUCCUGAGCAUCCCAGAUCCACGUGGGACACCGAUUCGUUCAGCACACGCCACUAUCGCCCGAACGUGCUCCGGGUUAUUGCUGAGCAUCCAUGGCACACACAUGCACAGCUUGGUAAUAUCGCAAUCAUCUAG
rnacentral:rRNA from 1 species